rnacentral:rRNA from 1 species
AACGCUAGCUACAGGCUUAACACAUGCAAGUCGAGGGGCAGCAUGAACUUAGCUUGCUAAGUUUGAUGGCGACCGGCGCACGGGUGAGUAACACGUAUCCAACCUGCCGAUGACUCGGGGAUAGCCUUUCGAAAGAAAGAUUAAUACCCGAUGGCAUAGUUCUUCCGCAUGGUGGAGCUAUUAAAGAAUUUCGGUCAUCGAUGGGGAUGCGUUCCAUUAGGUUGUUGGCGGGGUAACGGCCCACCAAGCCUUCGAUGGAUAGGGGUUCUGAGAGGAAGGUCCCCCACAUUGGAACUGAGACACGGUCCAAACUCCUACGGGAGGCAGCAGUGAGGAAUAUUGGUCAAUGGACGAGAGUCUGAACCAGCCAAGUAGCGUGAAGGAUGACUGCCCUAUGGGUUGUAAACUUCUUUUAUACGGGAAUAAAGUGAGGCACGUGUGCCUUUUUGUAUGUACCGUAUGAAUAAGGAUCGGCUAACUCCGUGCCAGCAGCCGCGGUAAUACGGAGGAUCCGAGCGUUAUCCGGAUUUAUUGGGUUUAAAGGGAGCGUAGGCGGACGCUUAAGUCAGUUGUGAAAGUUUGCGGCUCAACCGUAAAAUUGCAGUUGAUACUGGGUGUCUUGAGUACAGUAGAGGCAGGCGGAAUUCGUGGUGUAGCGGUGAAAUGCUUAGAUAUCACGAAGAACUCCGAUUG